GACGUAAGGUGCAAGCGUUGUCCGGAAUUAUUGGGCGUAAAGAGUUCGUAGGCGGUUACUUAAGUCUGGUGUUAAAUACGGGAGCUCAACUCCCGCAUGGCAUUGGAAACUGGGUAGCUAGAGUACGGUAGAGGUCUCGGGAAUUCCAGGUGUGGCGGUGAAAUGCGUAGAUAUCUGGAGGAACACCGGUGGCGAAAGCGCGAGACUGGGCCGGAACUGACGCUGAGGAACGAAAGCCAGGGUAGCCAAAGGG
rnacentral:rRNA from 1 species